rnacentral:rRNA from 1 species
AAACUAACUAGGAUUCCCUUAGUAACGGCGAGUGAACCGGGAUGAGCUCAAAUUUGAAAUCUGGCGUCUUUCAGGCGUCCGAGUUGUAAUCUAUAGAGGCGUUUUCCGCGCCGGACCGCGUCCAAGUCUCUUGGAAUAGAGUAUCAAAGAGGGUGACAAUCCCGUACUUGACGCGACAACCGGUGCUCUGUGAUACGUUCUCAAUGAGUCGAGUUGUUUGGGAAUGCAGCUCUAAAUGGGUGGUAAAUUCCAUCUAAGGCUAAAUAUUGGCGAGAGACCGAUAGCGAACAAGUACCGUGAGGGAAAGAUGAAAAGCACUUUGGAAAGAGAGUUAAACAGCACGUGAAAUUGUUAAAAGGGAAACGAUUGAAGUCAGUCGUGUGGGAAGUAUUCAGCCGUCUCUGGCGGUGUAUUUGCUUCUCACGGGUCAACAUCAGUUUGAUCCGGUAGAAAAAGGCGGGAAGAAGGUGGCACCCUCGGGUGUGUUAUAGCUUCCUGUCAUAUGUGCCGGACCAGACUGAGGAACGCAGCUUGCAGCAAUGCCGGGGUUCGCCCACGUACAAGCUUAGGAUGUUGACAUAAUGGCUUUAAACGACCCGUCUU